GAUGUUGUUGUAGUCGUCCUUAUCCAUGAUGGUGACAUUUGCUGGAAAAUUAUAAUCCUGACCACAUGGCCAAACAUUGGAGUUAUUUCUUCCAAACAUUCUUUCGUUGCAACUGUUUAAUUUUUCUUCUUACCUAAGUGCAAGUGCCCGUGUUAUCAAACAAUAUGCACAAAAUCGUUCAAAGGGUGCGAUUCUUGAAUCGCGCGCCAAUUCUAACACACUCGCAACUUCUUUCCAACUUUUCAAACCAUGCUACCAUUGAUACAAAUCCAACGUUUUCGUCUUAUGCUUCCAUCGAUAGAGCUCGCACAGUUGAAUCUCUUGAUUUUCGGGAAAUUACAAGCACGAGAGAACUUAGGAAUGCGUUUGACAAAUACAAUAGGAACGUUUUGUCUCGAUGCCUGAACUGGACUUCGGGGGCAAUUGAUAAUCAUCACGCAGCCAGCUAUGUGGUAAACCGUCAUUUUACAGCCGAUCACAAUGAUAAAUGCACAAAGGAGUUCUCAAGUAAGCAUCUUAAAAAUAUUCCGAACUUUGUAAGGAUAGUGGAGGUUGGUGCAAGGGAUGGAUUGCAAAAUGAGAAGGUUAUUGUUCCCACUGAUGUGAAAAUUGAAUUGAUAAAACUGCUAGUUUCUUCUGGGUUGUCUGUUGUUGAGGCGACAAGUUUUGUCUCACCAAAAUGGGUGCCACAGUUGGCAGAUGCAAAGGAUGUAUUGAAAGCAAUUCAAGACGUUGAAGGUGCUAGCUUUCCUGUCUUAACUCCAAAUCUCAAAGGUUUUGAGGCAGCUGUUGCUGCUGGAGCUAAGGAAGUGGCUGUUUUUCCUGCUGCUUCUGAAUCAUUCUCUAAAGCAAAUCUCAACUGUGGCAUUGAGGAUAACCUUGCUCGUUGCCGUGAUAUUGCUUCAGCUUCUAGAAGCCUCAGGAUCCCAGUUCGUGGAUACAUAUCAUGUGUUGUGGGAUGUCCUCUGGAAGGAAAAAUUGCUCCAGCAAAAGUAGCAUACGUUGCAAAAUCACUUUAUGAGAUGGGGAUCUCGGAGAUUUCAUUAGGGGAUACAAUUGGUGUUGGCACACCUGGUAACGUCAUUCCUAUGCUUGAAGCUGUUCUUGAUGUCGUUCCAAUUGAUAAGCUUGCUGUCCAUUUUCACGAUACUUAUGGUCAGGCACUUUCAAAUAUUCUAAUUUCACUACAGAUGGGGAUCAGCACAGUGGAUUCAUCUGUCUCUGGUCUUGGAGGUUGUCCAUAUGCCAAGGGUGCAACUGGGAAUGUGGCCACUGAAGAUGUUGUUUAUAUGCUGAAUGGACUUGGAGUUAAAACUAAUGUGGACCUUGGAAAACUUAUGCUUGCUGGGGAUUUCAUCUGCAAGCAUUUAGGACGUGCAUCUGGUUCAAAAGUCGCAACUGCAUUGAAUAAAGUUACAAAUAGUGCCUCUAAACUGUGAGUUACUAAAGCUAGAUCAUGUAUCUGCAUGAGAGGUAGAUUGUUUACCCACCGACUCGUAACUUCCAUACAGUAAAUGUCGGAGGCAGGAGAUUGAACCGAAGAGAAAUGCACAUUCGAGUCAAUAAAAUUUACAUAGACUUUAACUUAACCAUUUUUAACUUAAAUAUUAGAUACCAUUCACUUCAUUAUACUGUCUUGAUAUGUCACAAAUUAAGAACCUGUACCUAAUUUCUCCUUCUCCCCUUUCCCCUUAUUUUAUUAAAUAAAAAGCUGUAUUAAUGAACAA